CGGCCGCGCUCCGCCAUGAUAGUUAGGGCGGCUCCGCCAGGCGAGACACCUGCCGCCAACUCGGAAGUUCCUCCGCGGGGUGGAGCCUCGCCGCCACACGGGCCGAGGCGCCUGUGGCCCGCUCCGGAGCAGGGGGCCGAGCCGCAGCCUCGCCCAGGCCUCUAGUCCGGACCACAGGCCUCUCCCACUGGAUGACAGGCCCGCGCGCCUUCGCAGCAGUCCCGCCCCCGGCAACGGCGCCGCUCUACCGCCACGCGCCGCGGCCGCCUGGGCAAAGCUGCCUCUGCCUCGACACCCCCGCUCGCAGAGUACCCGGAGGCUUUGCCCCUCCCCAGGGAACCGAACAGGGAUGGGGGCUAGUGGGGAUUCAUUCCGCGCCCUCCGGCCCCAACUUCCCUGCCUUUGGAAUCCAGCGUGACUAGAUGUUUUUUUUUUCUCUUAAGUUCUGAAACAGAAAACUCUGGGGGAGGUUAGUUCUCAGCCUCUAGCUCACACCUAUGAAUGGCCCCUGAAGUGUCAAAUCAAUUGCCUAGCCUGUCCUUACGGCUUUUCCACUGAGAAGUGGAGGGGUUGCAGGCCUCAGGAAGGAGACUGCCUAUACCAGCCCCCUUUUACAGAUUCAGAAGGCCAACCUUCUGGAUAUUUUGGUCUGCAGAGCUGGAAUCCUCUGGCUUGAGGGGAUAUGGCAGUUUUAGAAGGCUUCAAAUAUUUUCACCUGGGCUGGACCCAAACUAACACGGCUGCUACUCUGAAAACUAUAUAAACUGAGAUCCAAGAAGGAGACCAGCUGGGAAGGAAAAAGAAGCAUAAGAAGAAAAGAUCUGGAAGAAGAAGAAGAACUCACCUCCAAGACACUGCCUGAGAACAGAGCUGCUAGAAUCCUAUGCAUGACCAUCACAUGCAGAAACGAGAUGAGACUGACCUUGUCUGGCCAACAGGGAAAGUCCACCUAUGUGAUCAGGAUUGCACUUUGGAAGGGACAUUGCUCCAAAUCCUUAGCUGCAGCCAACGAGUACUCUGCACAGUUCUGGAAUGGCAGUGAUACUGCAAGGUUGCUCUUGCUAAAAGGGUGGCAGAGCUGUUACGAUAGUGUGCACUUCCUGUGAGCCCCAAGAGGAGUUUUGUCUGGUGCUUCCACUGCAGCUCAGUGACUUCUCAUCACGUCCAAUGCAGGUUUGGACCAGAUUUUCAUUUACAAUAA